rnacentral:ncRNA from 1 species
CAACCUCAACUCAUAUGGGACUACCCCCUGAAUUUAAGCAUAUUAAUUAGGGGAGGAAAAGAAACUAACAAGGAUUUUCUUAGUAGCGGCGAGCGAAAAGAAAUCAGUUCAGCACUAAGUCACUUUGUCUAUAUGGCAAAUGUGAGAUGCAGUGUACGGAACAUCAACAUUCUAGUAUGAGAAGUUAACGAUGUAAGUCCUUCUUAAAUGAGGCCAUUUACCCAUAGAGGGUGCCAGGCCCGUAUAACGUUAAUGAUUAUUAGAUGGUGUUUCCAAGAGUCGUGUUGCUGGAUAGUGCAGCACUAAGUGGGUGGUAAACUCCAUCUAAAACUAAAUAUAACCAGGAGACACGAUAGUA